rnacentral:rRNA from 1 species
CGCCUGCCGGAAUUAGCCAACCCUGCCUAGAAAAUUGAAGUCUGAGAACAAGUUAAAUUAAACAAAACUUUCAACAACGGAUCUCUUGGUUCUGGCAACGAUGAAGAACGCAGCGAAAUGCGAUAAGUAAUGUGAAUUGCAGAAUUCAGUGAAUCAUCGAAUCUUUGAACGCACAUUGCGCCCCCUGGUAUUCCGGGGGGCACACCUGUUCGAGCGCCAUUUCUACCCUAGAGCCCUGCUCUGUGAUGGGCCCCGUCCUCGCGGACAGGCCCGAAACCCGUGGGCGCCGUCGUCCGGCCCUGAGCGUAGCAAGAGAAAUCCCUCGCUCGGAGUGUCUGUCGGUGGCCGCCUCGAAACCUAUUUUUACAAGGUUGGCCUCGGAUCAGGUGGGGAUACCCGCUGAACUUAAGCAUAUCAAUAAGCGGAGGAA